AUUGAACGCUGGCGGCAGGCCUAACACAUGCAAGUCGAACGGUAACAGGAAGCAGCUUGCUGCUUCGCUGACGAGUGGCGGACGGGUGAGUAAUGUCUGGGAAACUGCCUGAUGGAGGGGGAUAACUACUGGAAACGGUAGCUAAUACCGCAUAACGCCGCAAGACCAAAGAGGGGGACCUUCGGGCCUCUUGCCAUCGGAUGUGCCCAGAUGGGAUUAGCUAGUAGGUGGGGUAACGGCUCACCUAGGCGACGAUCCCUAGCUGGUCUGAGAGGAUGACCAGCCACACUGGAACUGAGACACGGUCCAGACUCCUACGGGAGGCAGCAGUGGGGAAUAUUGCACAAUGGGCGCAAGCCUGAU
rnacentral:rRNA from 1 species